rnacentral:rRNA from 1 species
UUCUUCACGGAGAGUUUGAUCCUGGCUCAGGACGAACGCUGGCGGCGUGCUUAACACAUGCAAGUGGAGCGACGAACCUGGCUUCGGCCAGGGGCAGAGCCGCGAACGGGUGAGUAACACGUGGGUCAUCUGCCCAGUUGACAGGGACAACCCGGGGAAACCCGGGCUAAUACCUGAUGUGCCCUUCGGGGGAAAGGAAGCUUCGGCCUCCGCAACUGGAUGAGCCCGCGGCCCAUUAGCUUGUUGGUGGGGUAAUGGCCUACCAAGGCUGCGAUGGGUAGCUGGUCUGAGAGGACGAUCAGCCACACUGGGACUGAGACACGGCCCAGACUCCUACGGGAGGCAGCAGUGGGG